UAAAAAAAAAAAAAAAAAGCCGUUAAAGGGAACAAGAAGAGUUGCCUAUCUUAAUCACAUUUCUAUGAAGUCCACUUGGUAAAAUAUUGUUUCACUUUGCAUCUCAUGUAACAGUAACAAAUCUAGUUCGAUGUCUGAAAAUGAUCUUUUUUGUUAGAACUCUUUCAGAAAGUAUUCUUUAAAAAUAUCUUUUUUUUUUUUUGUAACUUAAAACAUUCAAGAAUAGUUUAUUGAAGAUUUACAGUUGGAACCAAUUGUCUUGAACACAAGUUUUGUAAUGGUCACAAGGCUGUUUAGUUUUAGAACCUAGAGAAUUGUCAUUACAAAAUAAAGUAGACAUUAACGUAUGAGUGAACUUUUUGUUGUUAUCAUUGAUUGUAUUGAACAUAGAAGAGCAGAACUUUGUGCAGGUGCUGUACUUUUAUUUGGAAAUGGUCAGAAAUAAAUUCAAUUUUUAAUUUGUA